AACAUAAGUAAUACAUAUUAUAUAUUGUAUAUAUACAAUAUUAUACAUACAUACAACUACACUAAUAAUCUAUAUCGACCCAAAAGUUUAUAUGUGCAUUUACAUAUUACAAUGCAUGUCAAAGUAUAGAAAAAGAAAAAUAUGUUUUGAUAAAAAUUUUCUAGAAUUUAUAGACUAUUCCUUCAAUAGAAAAUAAUGAUUUUUGCUUUACUUUUGUAAACAUUUUUCAUUUUUUUGAAAUCGUAAACAGUUUUGAAGUCAAGUAUAGAAAUUUUAUUACAAAACACUUUUUUGAGUUUGUUUCCCUACUAUAAAAAAUGAUUAGUUUUCCUGAAAAUGACGUAAUUCUUCAUAUUUUGUCUUACAUAUAAUUUAAUAUUGGAAUAGUGUGUUAUGGAAAAUUGAGAAAUUAUUAAAAUUUUGAAUAUUUUCAUAUAAAUCUGCUUGUUUUAAAACGAAUAUAUAUUAGUAAUUAAUUACUUAUUUAAGAUGUUCUUGUUAAACAAAAAUUUUCUUAAUUCAUAAAACUUGAUAACUGUUGAGUAUUAAUAAGUUUAAUUUCAUUAAUUUGAUUUAUUUUAAAUGUUAAUUUGUUCUCAUUUGAUAUGUGUUGUAACAAUUAGCAUAAAAUUAAGGGACACUGGAUUUAGAACAUUUCUUUAAGUGGGACUCUUAAUAAUAAUGAAAGAUAUAAUAGACUGUUAUCCAAAAAUUACAUAAUGGAGAUAGAGAUAGAGAUAAAUAUGAAAAUUGGAUUAAAAAAGUAACUACAUAAAAGCUAUUUCAGUUAUAUCAAAAAUCACAGCGCAGGUAGGAAUUUUGCUAUGUAGUUAUAUAUGAACGGAUAAUAAACAAAUACCAGGAAAUUUCAAAAUUAAUAAAAACUUUUCUACCUUUUGUGGCAUAGCUCCCUCUUGCACUGAACUGCUCAAUUUUCCUUAUUGUCAAAUUUUCAUGUACUAUUUAAGGUUCAUCUGUCAUAAAGCAUUUUUUAAAAAAUAAAGCUACUCUUUUUGUAUAA